GCUGAGUCAUCCCACUCUGGUAGCUAUUUAAACAGAAGCGUCCAGCCGGCACGCAAUCAACACUCCACUCAGACAAUGCCCAGACCGCCAGAAAUCGUGUUCAGCUUGGAUUGCCCAUGACAAAAUGAGCCCAUCCAGCCGAUCCUCCAAUGGAACCUUAGCCCCAGGGGCCACCAAUUCCUGUUUCAACUUUUCUCACGGUCUUUCCAGUAUUUCUUUCAAGUCAGCAAACAUUGGCUGAGCACCUGUCACGGGUUAGGCGCUGACCUACAGGUGUUCCCUUCAGUGUGUCAGAUGAGGACUCUCUUCAUACUUGGCUGUCAUCUGUCAGCCACAACUGUCCUGUCCAGAAGCACUGGCUUUGGCUUUCAAGCCUGCUUCCUGGCUGGCUUCUUCCCCACUCCAUUAAGGAGGAUACCAUUCGAAAUCACAUGUGCUGCAGGUGCUGCUGAUGAAAGUGCUAAAGUCGCUGGAUGUGACUGACGUAUUUGGGAAGGACAGGACAGUGUGCCCAUGCAGUUGUUGUGUCCAAAUACUGUUCUUAUCUCCCAGUGGAAAGGUACUGUAAAUAAAGAGAAAGGCCACUACCUUAUUUUAAACAUCUGAGCUAGGAGCUGUCCUAGGCACUACGUAAAAGCUCUAUUUAGUUCUUGCAGUAGUAGUGUCCUUAUGUUAGAAUCCCAUGUUAUAGACUGAGGAAAGUCUGGCUCAGAGAGGUUAAGAGACUUACCCAAGGUCACACAGCUCUACAGUUUUUGGUUGAGCGUGACUCUACACAGAUCUAUGUGACUUUGAAUCUAGUGUUCUUUAAAAUCCUGGAAUAGUUCACAGAAGGAGCUGUGGAACGUUAACACGGCAGUAAGAUUUCUGAUUCCAGUCUGAUUAUGAGUCUUUUAAGCAUGAUAGCACGAGUUUCUGACUCUUUGCUCUGAAACGUGAAACCGAUUGGAACAAAUUAGAGUAGAAGGAAGCAACGAAUGUCUAGUAAAAUCUAAUUCAUCCAAUGAAAAGAUUGAUCAAUACGUUUAAGUUCACAGAACUUUUAAGUAGAAUAAAAGACACACUGGGAGAGAGAUGUGGGGAAAAUAUGUCUGUUUUUAUGACUUGUUGAUAUCUAUGGGGUUUUUCCUUAAGCCUCAAAACAAUUUACAGCAUUGCCAGCAGCAUUCAGUACAUUCAGAACAGGAUCAUUUCACCCACAGCUGAACUAAGGCCAUGCCUGGGACAGCACCGAGAACAGCCUUCCAGCAGACAUGCCAGGGAGUAAGCCAGGGUCAGUGAGUGAAGAGGCAAGCAGGGCCAUUUAAAGCAACAUCGUUUAUGUGGGUCUGGGGAUUCUACAGCACCGCAGAACACAUCGGGCUCUUUACCGGGAAGUUCUGGAACCCAGGAGGCCCAUUCUGAGAUCAAGUCAACACUUGAAGUCCUGAGAAUCCCCUCUGAGAGCAAAAGGCUCUUUGUUCUUCUCUUCAGAGGGUCACAAUCGCUAAUGACAGAGAAUCUGUCAUUCCUCUGGUGGUCCAUGCCCAAUAGAUGUGUUCAAGAAUGGUUGCACAUCUGUGCAACAUGAAGCAAAUAAUUUACCCACCUUAUAGAAGAGGUCUGAGAAGUCAAGGAAACUAUAUCUAGAAUGGUGCUUGGCACAAAAUAGGCUCCUUGUAAACAGAAGCCAUCACAACGGCAAUUUCUCUUAUUCUCAUUACCAUCACUGCUCUACUACUGUUACUUUGGUUGCAUCUAUAAAGCCAGCAGUUUUUCCUGGGUAUGACCAGUGGCCUUGUGUUUAACAAUAGCAUCCUACAUUUCAGGGUGUCUCCUCCUUUCUAAACCUGUAUUUUUCUUUGAACAGAUCAUAAAAACCUUAAAUUGACAUCCAGUUGAAAAUCCCUGUCAAGAAGAUACUGUCUGGGUUACUUACAAGUUUAAUCUAAGAGAGCAAUAUUUUUUUCCCCAAGCAUAAAAUUAUAACAUUGAAUGUUUUUAAAAAAUCAUAUGUAAUUCAAAUAUAAGUAAUGUUAAAAGAUAAACAGGCAUAUUAAAAUUUUUAAGUAUUUAUUUGAGCAAAGAUUGAAUUAAAUUGGGCAACACCAAACCAGAAGGAGCUCACUGACAGGAGCCUUGGGAAAGAAUUUUCUAGAAAAGAACUGGAAGCAAAGUAAAAGAUUACUGGCAAUAGUGUAAGUAGUUGCAUUAAUUGGAAAAGACUCAUUGGCUGUUUGUGACAGGGUGUCCUUAGGUUUCGAUUUCUUAGCCUCAAGGCAUUUGUAGGCUUAAGUUUUGGUUUGCUUACUAGGCUGCUAAGGCAUUCGAACAACAUUAGACUGAUGGCCUCCUGAUUUAAUUAACCUAAGGUAGGUUGUUUUGGCCCUGCCCUAAGUAAGGUCUAUUCUCUGUACAUUUGACAUAAAAGAAAAGGAAGAAGAAACCAGAAGGAAAAGAAAAAGAAGAGGAGAAGAAGUAAGAAGAGAUGCAAAGGGGGAAAAAACAUCCCCAUCAAAAACACUGAAGAGAAAUGGAGGUUUUAUUGAAGCUCUCUCAAGUACUGCUGAGGCACCUGUACUGUAGCGCACACCACAAAUGUAACUACUGUCUUGCUGAAAAGAGUUUCUCUUUCUAUAGAAAUCCCAACAUCUCCCUUCAUAUAGCUUCUUCCUGACUUGGAUGGCUCUUUUCUCACCUCGCAUCCUCCAGAUUAUCCCAGAGGUGGCCCCUCUGUUUUCAGAAAGAUCAGUUUAACCUCUUCUCAGCCUCCUUAGGUCCCCUCACCUAUCACGACAUCUGGCUCAACAAAGGACAGGAAGUUAGAUGCUAAGUGAAACUUCCCCAAAUCGAGACAUUCAGGUAGCCAACCAUUCUUAGAGCAAUUUACAGCAAGCAAAUAAAUUAGUUCACAAGAGUCUCAGAAACCCAACAGUAAUUUAAAUCUUCAUCUCCAGGUACAGUUUUGCUACUGUUUUUGUUCUGCUCACUGAUGUAUAGCAAGUGCCCAUAAGAACACUUGGCAUAAAUAUUUAUUGAAUAAAUAAAUAGUUAGAGAAUUAGCAUUUCAAGAUAUCUUUUCUACAGUUUUUCUCAAAUGUUUUGUGUGAGACAAGUUGUCACACAUGCAUGCCUCCAUAGAAGAGGAUACAAUUUUCUGUCAUUACUUUUUUUAUUAUGUCAUUUUAGGUCAAAUGUUACAAAAAAUGAUAUUGAACUCUUAACCAAUCUAUUUUUUCCAUUGGAAUAUUGGCCUGACUGAGAAAUAACAUCAAGGAAAAAUUAUUUUUUUGGCAGAAAAAUGUCCUCACUAAAUUCUUGUAUGUUUUGUUUUGAUUUUUCCUUAGUGACUGGAGGUCAAUUUCAAUCCACUAAAGCACAGAUUCCAAAUUUUCAAUCUGGUUUUCUUGAGUACAGCCUGGGUGCCAAGAAUGAGGCAAUGACACAACAUCACUACCAAGACACACACACACACACACACACACACACACACACACCCCAGAGUCCAGGGCAUGUUCUGCUGACUUGCAGGCUUCUCCCCUCUAAAAGUUACUCUCAAAAUCAUGCUUUUAAAUUUCAAAUGGAUCUAUUCCCUCUCUCCCUAGCCAAUUCUUAAUGACCUUUUUUUGUCUAAUCCACUGAUCAGGGUCUUCCAGACCCUAUAAGCUAUCAUAAUGGAAUCAUCUAUUGACCAAAGAUAAUGUGUCCUCUACUUAUCCUUUCUUGCUUCCUUUUAAAAGUUGGAUUUUCAAUAUGCUUGUGAGUGAAUCAAUGACUAUAAAUGUAAUUACUGGAGAAACGAUCAUUUUGCUUUAGCCCAAUAAAAGAGGAACUAAGUAUUUUUGGCAGCCCCCAAAGAAUCACAUGUUAUUAAACACAUGUUGUAGAGGAGGGGCAGUGCCCUGAAGGAAAGAGUGGCACGCUAGACAGCCAAAAGAACAGACAUCCACUACAAGUAAUAUGAGUACCAGGUUUGGGUGAGACCUAUCUCUGCUGUGAGACUGGGGACAAUUCACUCAAGAUAAGCCUUAGUUUCUUCAGCUAUAACUCAAGUAUUGAUAUACUUGUCUCCUUACUUUGUAACUCUCCUUACUAAAGUUAACUGUAUCUGUUGUUCUGUGAGUCUUCAAUUCUCAGAUUAAUCUUUUCCUGUUAUAGCCACAUUCUCUAUCAUUGACAGAGAAAUUCACCUGGUUAUUUUGGCUUCUCUAAUCCUGCUGCUGAGAACACCUCCAAGGGAGCUUUCGGUCAGGAGCUGACAAUGGCAUUUAAGGUCACUUGUGCUGUUGGUAGAGAAGGAGAUUUGAAAGGACACCAGUAUCUAACCACCAAUAAUACAUAUAUAUUUAAUUUGGACCUAGUAACUUCCCUGAUAAUGAUAUUUAGCUCAUAUUUGUUAUGUCCUAAUUAAUGCCAAGCUUUUUAGAAAAUCCAUCACCUCAUUUAAUUCUUACAGUCCUCCUUGAAAUAAGGUAUCAGGGUGUUUGACUAUAGUUAUGGGGGAAAAAAAAACCCCAGCCUCCAGCUAACUUAAGCAGUAGGGCCUUUGUUGGCCCACAUAACUGGUAGUCUAGAGAGGGUAGCUUCAGGGUUGGUUUAUGGAUCCAGUGGCUCCAAAAUGUCACCAGCUCCCCAGGUUCUGUCUCUGUCCUGAUAUCCACUGUUGGACCCCCUCUUGUACCAAUUUCCCUCUAUAGGAUGGCCAUCAACAGGAAACUUGCUUACUUACAUAUAUCUAGCAAAGGAGAGUGAGUACCCCCACAGUGAAAAAAGCAAAAAAAAAAAAAAAAAAAAAAAGGCUUCUCCUCCUCAUGGUCUACCUAACUUUAGUCAGCUGCUUAGCUCUGAGACAGCAGCUCCUGGGGAUGGAAGUUAGAGGAAGGAGGAAUAUCAUGGUAUAAUUAACUCAUAUUCCUGAAUCCAAUUAUCCUGAUUGAUUUGGAUGAAUUAGAAUUUACUCCUGAAGGUGGGGCGAUUUUCUGGACGACACUGCCUACUACACAAUGGAAAAGGAAUUGAGCAAAUUUGGGGAGCCAACUAUAAUAUACAUUACAGGAAAAUACUGCUAAUUCCCAAUUUACAAAUGAGAAAACUGAGGCAUGAGGGAGAAAGAUCAAUUAAUUUGCCCAAGAACAUAACUGGGCCUUAGAAGUCUAUCUCCAUUCUAACAAUUAAUUUUUCUUCUCUGUGCAUUUCUUGAAAGCUUAUGAUGUACAGGAGCAAUUAAGAGAACGACCACAGCACUAGCCAUCAAGAGAUGAGAUUACAAUCCUGCUAUAUAACUUCUUUAAAAGUGAGAAUGAUAAAACUACUUACUGGAGUAGUGGCAAAUAUUCAGAUAGAAACCGGGCAGAAGAGUGGCAUCACUUGGGAACUUGUUUGAAAUGCAGAUUCUUUGCCCUACUCCAGACCCACUUAGUCAGAAGCUCUGGGGGCAGGGUCCAGCAAUAUGUGCUUUAACAAGCCCUCCAGGUGAUUCUGAUGGUUGCUAAAAUUUGAGAACCGCUGGUCUAACACAUUGCCUGGUGCCUAAGAUUUUAUUUGUUAUUGUUCUAAAGACAAUGAGGAUAUUGACUUCUGUCUCCAAGAGUUCACAGUCUAGGGAAAGAAAGACAGAGUUCUUUAUGAAGUUCUUUAAUACAGGACCAUACUGUUUGACAAAUGCUCUGAUAGAGGUUUAACUCACUUUGAAAGCUCGUAAGGGGUUGAAUUUAUUUCUAACAAGAUGAAUCUCAGACGGCUUUAUAGAAUAGAUAAGAAACAGAAAGAGAAAAAAAGAAGCUAUGAACUAACAACAGCACAGAUAAUUAAACUUCCAGAGCUCACAGCAGUUACAUCUAGAAAGUUAACUUAAAUACAGUUGACCCUCUGCUCAAAGAUCCGUGUAUAACUUACAUUUGGCCCUCCAGAAACAUGGUUCCACAUCCUCAGAUUCAGCCUACCCAGGAUCUCGUAGUACUAUAGUAUUUACUACUGAAAAAAAUUCACACAGAAGUGGCCCCUCACAGUUCAGUUCUGUGCUGUUCAAGGGUAUAGCACAGACACAGAUUAGAGAUCUCACAUAUAUGGAAGUGAAAACCCAUCAGAAGUCAGCAAAUGAGGAUUUUAGUCCUGGUGUUACAUUUACCAGCUGGCCCUUAAUGUGCUAUUUCACACACAAAAAAAGAGACUGGAUUCCCCAGUUCUUAACCACAGGAAAAUAAGGUUAGGAAAAGGCACGUGUAGAUUUAAAUAUUUCACUGAGGAGCAUGGGCACACCCUGGCUAAGAUGCAUCAGACUUAGUGGUCUCAAAUCUGCAACUGUAGAUUGAGGAAUUAUUGAAUAUAAAGUUAGUAUGUUAAAGAAGCAUGUAAAUAGUAUUAAAAAUCUGUAAGUCAAUCUGCUUUGUUGUUGUUUUUGUUGUUUUGCUUAACAUCUCUAUACGUGCUUCAGUCCUUAAACACCCAAUUAAUAUGUACCGACUAAAAUGUCACCUUCCCUGCGUGGAUCACAAAGUCCUUGGCAGUCACUUCCAUACCAGACUAGUGAGCAUUAUUGUUCUCAUUUUCCAGAUGGAUAAACAGAGGAGAAAGGCCUUGUUAUGUGUCACACAUUUCAGUCACCAAAUGAGACACAAUGGAUACCAGUCUUCUCAUCCCUUCAACAAUAAAGAGCUUUUAAGUUCUUGUAGUCAACAAGGACUUUUGGAAAGGUUAUACUGGCUGAAAAGGCCUAUAUAUGGGUGACAUCCCCAAGCAGGAGGAAAAUCAAAUUAAAGCUGAGUGUCUAAGCUGACUCUCAGAAGAAGAGACAGAAGAGUUGUAAAAUUUUGGCAAAGAAGAGUCUGAAAGAAAAUAAAUGUAGCUGAUUUUCAAGUGCUGUUUUUACACAGUAAAACAAGGGCAAAAUUACUCUUCUUUAAGUAGUAGUUAUCUCUUAAUUAAUAGAUUGAGUCAUUCACUCAUUCAAUAAAUACUUUUUGAUUGCCUUUUAUGUGCCAAGUAUUCAUCCCUGUACUGGAAAUGUAACAAUGACCAAAAGCAGACGAUGAUGACAGUGAUAAUAAUAAUAACAACAACAACAGCUAAUGCAGCAAGUGCUAAUAACAUAGUAAUAUAUAAUAAUUGUUGAAUAAAAUGUCACAACUCAGGAUGAACUAGCAUUCUCUUUGGGGCUGCAUCCAUUGACUAUAAGACAGCUAAUCUGCUUUGAAAUUCUCCAGCUCUGGGCCUCUCUAUCAGAAGGAGCUGUUGUUGGGCCUGCUUCUUGGUAGUGAUGUGUCAACCAGUGAAAACGAAUUUAUGCUCACUGUCUUCGGAAAGGCAACUGAAACUGAGAGCACUGUGAUUUCUUUCAUGAAUUUUUUUAAAUGACUGGAGCCAGCUCUUCUGACUCUACUUCUUUGUUUCUGACUUACUUAAAUACUGCAAGAGCUAUGUAAAAUAAAAGAAAUGUCAUCUUAAUAUUGUUUUCACACAAAACAACAGCAUUCUUUCAACUGUGCUUGAGAUGGAAUAAAACACGAGCAUAUCUGAGAAUAACUUUCAAUGGUAAAUUCAUUCUAUCCGUGCUUUUUAAGAGUAAAUGCUCUGGGGGCUUUGAAAAACAUCUCUUCAUCUUUUUAAAUGUCACUUUACUCACACUGAUGAUGCUCUCAGAUGUUAGGAAAUCUCUUGAGACAGAAAGUGGGAAUAGAGUGAUGCAAUAUUUGAGUGUCAUGUGAUUUCACAAUUUGUUUUUCAAUCUCUUUGGACUUCCGAAAAGGAAGAUUCUCAUAUGUCAACAAGCUCAUGAACUGAAGCUUAAAAUGCUAGAAACAAAACUACAGAGUUUCAAAUACAGGAAUACAUAUGGUCAUAUUGUUUGAUGGGAUGUUGGCUGGCAUUACUGUUUGAUCUCCUGGGAAAUGUUAAUUUUUCUCUGACAGAUUUACUAGCUUGCUUUCUCUGAACACAUGAACCAUAAACAAUGCCUAGUAAGAAAACUUUCUGUCUUCUCCAAGGUCAAAGUUGGAACAAGGAGAGGGAAUUCAGUUUUCCUUCCUUGACAUUAUUCAUUAUUCUUGCAGUCAGUUUGCUCAUAAAGAAUGCAAACCUCUUACAGUUAGUACAAAGAUACA